rnacentral:rRNA from 1 species
CAGUAGCCACGGGAAUACGUAGGUGGCAAGCGUUGUCCGGAAUUAUUGGGCGUAAAGGGCUCGCAGGCGGUUUCUUAAGUCUGAUGUGAAAGCCCCCGGCUCAACCGGGGAGGGUCAUUGGAAACUGGGAAACUUGAGUGCAGAAGAGGAGAGUGGAAUUCCACGUGUAGCGGUGGAAUGCGUAGUGAUGUGGAGGAACACCAGUGGCGAAGGCGACUCUCUGGUCUGUAACUGACGCUGAGGAGCGAAAGCGUGGGGAGCGAACAGGAUUAGAUACCCCUGUAGUCCCUGUCUCUUAUAC